rnacentral:rRNA from 1 species
AUUAUUUAAGAGCUUUACAUUGUGAGUAAAUAAAAAUUAUGAAAGCAAAAAAUUAUGGCGGUAUUUUAAGCUUUUCAGAGGAAUUUGCUCUUUAAUGGAUAAAACACCUAAAUCUUACUUAAAUUUGUUAUUUCAAUUUGUAUACCACUAUAAAAACAAUUUAUAACUCUAAUUGUUAAAAUUUACUAUAUUAAAAUAUGUUAAGUCAAGGUGCAGUAAAAAUUUAAGGAUGAAGUGAAUUACAUUACUUUUUAGGGAAAAAAAUUAAAAUAAUAUUUAGGAUUUGAAAGUAAAAUUAAAAUAAAAUGUUAAUUUGAAUUAAGCUCUAAAAUAUGUAC